rnacentral:rRNA from 1 species
GACGAACGCUGGCGGCGUGCUUAACACAUGCAAGUCGAACGGAAAGGCCCCCUUGUGGGGUACUCGAGUGGCGAACGGGUGAGUAACACGUGAGUAACCUACCCUUGACUUUGGGAUAACUUCAGGAAACUGGGGCUAAUACCGGAUAGGAGCUCCUGCUGCAUGGUGGGGGUUGGAAAGUUUCGGCGGUUGGGGAUGGACUCGCGGCUUAUCAGCUUGUUGGUGGGGUAGUGGCUCACCAAGGCUUUGACGGGUAGCCGGCCUGAGAGGGUGACCGGCCACAUUGGGACUGAGAUACGGCCCAGACUCCUACGGGAGGCAGCAGUGGGGAAUAUUGCACAAUGGGCGGAAGCCUGAUGCAGCAACGCCGCGUGCGGGAUGACGGCCUUCGGGUUGUAAACCGCUUUCGCCUGUGACGAAGCGUGAGUGACGGUAAUGGGUAAAGAAGCACCCGCUAACUACGUG